rnacentral:snoRNA from 1 species
CAGCAUGUUUCCAAGGUCUGUGGCUGGUCAUGGCCGCUGGAUCUCCAACUGCAUGCAAGAGCAUCCUGGAGAGACUUUGACAGCUCAGGUCAGCAUCAUACCUGCAGCUGCCACUCGCCUUUCCUAUAAAG